CUAAACACAGACAUAAAUUUCACCGGGGAUGAACAACUUUUGUCACGUGACCACAAAAGUCAACGCAGGUUGUUGAAUUACAUCAGGAAUCCCGCUCCGUCAGGAAGUUUUUUUACCGUACUAGUCGCUCCCAUGUGUAUGGCUUGACUGGAUCAACUGAGAGCAGCACUGCACAGCCGACCAACAGUGACGGAUGCAAUACGCAACAGCAGAAUGACAUCAUUCGAAAAAUAAGAUUAAAGGACCACGAAUUUGACAUUCCAAAACGGAAGGAACCUAAACUAAAAUUUGACACCGUGUCAACAAGCAGAAACGCUCUCCAGAAGGGAACGUUGGGUGUCCGAUGGGAGAGGGCAAGACGAAAUGACAGCAAAAUGCUUCUAACAUCAAAAAUGGGAAUUGACAUUGACCCGUAAAAGGAAAUCAUAAUAUCAUACGACAGUUUGUAGUUCUUUAAAAGACAGCUGUCAUUUUUGAUAUUCGUUAACCAACGUUACCUAUAUUGAUUCCGUGUAAUGCUACUGAAUUUGAUUUUGUGUUGCUCUUUCUAUGUUUAUGCAUUGAGGAGCUACCAAUAUUGGGGCCGUAUAAUAUGCUGCCUAUAUUGACGCUGUGGGAUGCUUCAUUUAACGAGGCCUACCGGUAUAUUCAACCUUUUUGGGGGAUUUGAAACAACAACAGACAUAUUGGAUCUAACUUUAUUUUGUUUGCUGUUAUUUGUUUCAAGUUUUAAAAUUACAGUUUCUAAAAAAUGCCAUGUAUCUUGUAUCUUGUUAAUUAAAAAAAAGGUAUCUUU